ACGACAAGGUAGAUAGGGCAGAGGUGGAAGUGCAGUAAUGCAUGGAGCUGACUGUUACUAAUCGGUCGAGGGCAUAACCAAG
rnacentral:rRNA from 1 species